AGGGAUGUAGCUCAGUAGGUAGAGUGCUUGCCUAGCAUGCUUGAGGCCCAGGUUCAAUCCCCAGCAUCCUA
rnacentral:tRNA from 1 species